AUUGAACGCUGGCGGCAUGCUUUACACAUGCAAGUCGAACGGUAACAGGGUGCUUGCACCGCUGACGAGUGGCGAACGGGUGAGUAAUGCGUCGGAACGUGCCGAGUAGUGGGGGAUAACGCAGCGAAAGUUGUGCUAAUACCGCAUACGUACUGAGGUAGAAAGUGGGGGACCUUCGGGCCUCACGCUAUUCGAGCGGCCGACGUCUGAUUAGCUAGUAGGUGAGGUAAAGGCUCACCUAGGCGACGAUCAGUAGCGGGUCUGAGAGGAUGAUCCGCCACACUGGGAGUGAGACACGGCCCAGACUCCUACGGGAGGCAGCAGUGGGGAAUUUUGGACAAUGGGCGAAGGCCUGAUCCAGCCAUGCCGCGUGUAUGAAGAAGGCCUUCGGGUUGUAAAGUACUUUCAGCGAGGAGGAAGGCGUUGUGGUUAAUAACCGCAGCGAUUGACGUUACUCGCAGAAGAAGCACCGGCUAACUCCGUGCCAGCAGCCGCCGUAAAAC
rnacentral:rRNA from 1 species